GCCAACUAGGUCAGCGUCAGGGAAGGCAAACAGCCCAGGCUGGCCUGACAGGUCUUUCAGAGUGUGACAGCAACAGGGCCUGAAAAGCAGCCAGAGAGACCCCACCACCACCACCAUGAGGCUCCUUUGGACAGGACAUAAACCCUUUCCUCCAGGUGAAACCUCCCAUUUCUAGCCCAGGAAGUGCAGCUAGGACUGGAACUAGGAAGGCAUUCUCCCAGGACAGUGAUGGACUCUGGGGAGCUACAACAGUGAGAAGAAAGAGAAGAAGCACUGUUCAAGACUACCCUAGCUGCUUUGGAUCCUCAGCCAUUUACUCCUCCAACCCCAGUGGGAGGUGAGAGGGAGGACUCUUCCUAUUCCUGUUUUACAGAUGAUGAAAUGCAAACUCGAAGAGGGGUCUAAGCUGCCCAGGCUGACCUUGAACCUGUGACUCUCCUGCCUCAGCCACCCAAGUCACUGGGAUUACAGGCAUGCACCACCACACCCAGCUUCCUUGGUCUGAGUUCUGAACUUCUGAGACACAUAGGAGUAAAGCAGGAGAGGCCGGAGAGGGGACAGAGGCCAAGAAGGUGUGACACUCGUGGAUGAAACAGGGAAAAGGAGUCUUCUCCCAACCCCCAGUUAUUAAGACGGCACUGUUGUCCUUUCUCCACUUUAAGAAUAUCAUGCCAGCAAGUCCAGGGGUUUGUACUUAGGAAAGCUCCACUCUGCAAUUGGAUCCUGGGCCUGUGCCCCCCAAGGCUGGGCAAUCAGAAAGUCCUGUGGGGGCCUGGAGUGGGCAGUAGGGACUCCCAAGAAUGUCCCCAGCAGAUGGUGGAAAGUGUAACUGAUCUGAAUUCCUAGCACAGCAAGAGCAGGCCAGCUGGCUGGGGCGCACUCCUCUGUUUCAUUGUAGGUUGUCUCUAGGAAUUUUGACAGGUACACAGUCACAGGUGCACAGUCACUGAGCCGCUGACUUGAAGCAAGAGAAUCCGUCAGGAGUACUGGCCUCAGGAUGGGUACUCAGGGACUCAUGAUGAGCCGCUGUAAGCUCCUCUGCCCUCUGGGUCAGAGUGGAGAGUGUGGUGGAAAGAGUCCUGAGUCACAGUAGGAAACACCUACUGAACUCUUCAUUUUGCCAAUGUCAACUCGGUGCCUUUAGGCAGGUCCCCUCCCCUCCCUAGAGCUCACUUGUCACGUUGUUUAGGUGGAGCCGCCAAAUCAGAAGAUGCCAGGAUUUCAACAUCGCUUCUGUUCUCCAACCGGAGACUCUUCUCACUGCUUCCGCUUAAUGGAGUUUCAUUUGUCUUUCUGUAAUGACUCCCAGUAACCAUAGUUCAAGCAAGGAGGCUUCAUGAACUGUUCAUUUUAUUGCAUCCUGCCUAUCUUGGUUACCAAACCCAGACUCAGAUAUGUCCCAACUUUAAAAAGCCUAGAAACAAGAACUCUGGAGACAGAAGGAUUGAAGCAUGUGUAUUCAAACUACACAGAAGUCGGGAGUUUAGAAAUUACAUCUUGGUCCUACUUCUGGUCCACAUGUCCUUUACUGAUGUUGGGUGGACAGCUUGUAGAAUGAACCCAUUCGAGCUCAUUGGGGCUUGAAUCCUAGCGGUGAAUGGUACUGAGUGGCCUUGACUGAGUGACCAUAUUCAGGUUCUCACGCACUGCUUAAUGCUGCUCACUCCUGGCUUGGCGUUGACUUACCCGCCUGAGAGGGUUGUGGGUUCUUAGGAGCAGAGGCCAUGUCUUAAAUAUAUUUCAUAUCCCCAGGUGCUAUCCCCCCUUGCCUCUGCAUAUGUAGACCUUCUUACGGACAGAUCAUUUCUGGAAGAACCACCCAAGAAACUGACAUGUUGGGGCACCCAAGGAAGGCUGGGCCAGGAGUAGGAGGGACACUUACUCUUCACUAUAUAUCCUAGAAUAUCUUUCCAGGAACUUUUUUUUUGAGGAAGGUCAACAUUAUCUGUGUUGCCCAGGCUGGCUUUGAACUUGCAGUCUCAGGUGAUCCUCCGCCCCAAUCUCCCAAGUAGUAGGGAAUAUGUGUGCAUACCAACAUACCCAUCUUUUUUUCUCUUUUAAUUUUGAGAUAGGGUCUCACUAAGUUGCUGAGGGUGGCCUCAAAUUUGCAAUCCUCCUGCUUCAGCACCCCAUGCCCACCAGAAACAGGGAUUACAGGUACGCACCACCAUCCCUGGUCUACUUUUUUAUUGUUGUUGUUGAACCCAGGGGUGCUGUACCACUGAGCUACAUCCCAGCCCUUUUUAUUUUGAGACAGGGUUUCAAUAAAUUGCUAAAGCUGGUCUCAAACUUGCAAUCGUACUUCUUCCAGAAUAUUUGAAAUUACAGACAGGCACACUAUGCUGAGCUUAUAUUAUUUUUUA